rnacentral:rRNA from 1 species
GAUGAACGCUGGCGGCGUGCCUAAUACAUGCAAGUCGAGCGAACGGACGAGAAGCUUUCUUUUCUGAUGUUAGCGGCGGACGGGUGAGUAACACGUGGAUAACCUACCUAUAAGACUGGGAUAACUUCGGGAAACCGGAGCUAAUACCGGAUAAUAUUUUGAACCGCAUGGUUCAAAAGUGAAAGACGGUCUUGCUGUCACUGAUAGAUGGAUCCGUGCUGCAUUAGCUAGUUGGUAAGGUAACGGCUUACCAAGGCAACGAUGCAUAGCCGACCUGAGAGGGUGAUCGGCCACACUGGAACUGAGACACGGUCCAGACUCCUACGGGAGGCAGCAGUAGGGAAUAUUCCGCAAUGGGCGAAAGCCUGACGGAGCAACGCCGCGUGAGUGAUGAAGGUCUUCGGAUCGUAAAACUCUGUUAUUAGGGAAGAAAAUAUGUGGAAGUAACUGUGGGCAGCUUGACGGUACCCAAUCAGAAAGCACCGGCUAACUACGUG